GUGGGGAAUUUUGGACAAUGGGCGCAAGCCUGAUCCAGCGACGCCGCGUGGAGGACGAAGGCCUUCGGGUUGUAAACUCCUUUUGGAGGGGAAGAAUAAAUUGACGGUACCCUCAGAAAAAGCCACGGCUAACUACGUGCCAGCAGCCGCGGUAAUACGUAGGUGGCGAGCGUUACUCGGAAUUACUAGGCGUAAAGCGUAUGUAGGUGGUUAGAUAAGUCUAUGGUGAAAUUUCCUGGCUUAACUGGGAAGGGACAUAGAUACUAUCUGGCUUGAGUGUGGGAGGGGGAGACGGAAUUCCUGGUGUAGCGGUGAAAUGCGUAGAUAUCAGGAGGAACACCGAUGGCGAAAGCAGUCUCCUGGCCCAAUACUGACACUGAGGUACGAAAGCUAGGGUAGCAAACAGGAUUAGAAACCCUAGUAGUCC
rnacentral:rRNA from 1 species